AUAUUAUAUCAUUAUUUCUCGAGACAAAUGCCCUAUAAAAAGGUAGUUGACCUUACUUUUAUUAAGCGGAAAAGACUCUUUAUUUGAAUCAAAUUAUGUGAGUACGUUACGCUACAAGACGCCGGUAACUUUUAUGAUCAAAUUCAAAUGAUAAUGGGUGAAAUUCCCAUUAUUUUAAUUCUUAGGUUAGGGAGAUGGCAUAAUUGUUGGUCAUAGUCCUCAGGAUCAAAUAGGUCUACUUCUGUUAAAGCUGGAAAUAGAUGUGACAAUGAUGGGUGACUAGUUUGUUAUGUAAAUAUCAUAAUAUUGGUAGUAAUCAUUUAAAGUAGUCCAAUAAUUACUAUUACAUGGUAAUAUUUCCCAGAUUAGUAGGUCCGUGAGAGUGAGCAAACCAUAUGGACCACCUUGUCCAUCUAAAAGAUGAGUGAUGCGCCUCUUCCAAGUAUGUGCUUUGAGUUUGCUUUAUUCUGUCAACUGGCUGUCUUUGCUUCUGCAAUUUUUUGUCAAUAAUUAACUGCAUAUCAAUAAGUCGAUUAUUGAUUUAUCACUGAUCGUGCACCAGUUGAAAAUUUGGCCGCAGCUCAGACGUGUACAGAUAAUCUAAUUACUCAUUGAAAACAUAAUUGUGGAACAUUGAACGUAACGCUAUGCAAGCGAUUCUGCAAAUAAUUAAAUAAGAUUAGAAUGUCCCUACUAAUUGCAUAUUGCUUAAAUUAGUUAAAAAAAGAAACUAAGUUGUAAAGUUAUUUAGGGAAAUAAAAAUUUGACUUUUUAUUGAGGCAUUUCAAUUAAAUGAAAAAUAUAAAAGUUUCACCACCUUUUUAUUUUAAAGAAUGGGCAACCUUCUUACAAAAAGGACAAUUUAAAAAGGAAUGGGCCAGCUGUUUGGGUAUUUGAACUGCUGGCUCGUUUUGGGCCACUUUGGCCAUUGGCCAGCCCUUGACUUAAAAAAGAAUGGGUCAGUUAUGUUAUUAACUAAAACAAAUGGAUCAACUGCUGGAUUUUAUUGGUGUUGGGCUGCUAGAGUUUAUUUAGCGUGAAAAAUAAUUUCUUGAACCAAAACCUAAAACCCGUACUGCUAAAAAUCCAAAAUCUUAUCUUUCUAAACUUAAACAUUUGUUUUUACUAGACAAAUUAAGACAAAAAAAAGAAUACUUUUUUAGUUUACCAUAUAAAUAUUCAGAAAACACAUGUAAAAACUUAAUUUGAUAACUUGCUAUCCAACAGGAAUUCCUUAAAAUAUAUAUAGAAGAGCAUUCUUUCUAAACACGUUUAAUUUUACUACCAAAUUCACUUUAACAUGAAUAUAACUCAACAAUGAUACAUAACUUUUCAAGUUAAAACAUGUUUUUAAAUUUUUUUUAAAAGAUAUUAAAACUGCGAAGGAACUUCUAGACAUCCAUUCUUAUAUUUGAACUAAAGAACGAAUUAAUAAACCAAAAAAAUGCGUUAUUUACUUAAACACUUUAACAUGUAUUGGUACUUAUUUGCACAAACGCUACCAGCACAAAUGAAAAUGUAGGGGAACAAAGUUCAUGUCAAACAUAAAGAAAAAGUCACUAAAAGAAAACUAGAGCAAACUAGGAAAAAUUCAUAAUUACAAAAAAAGAAACUUGGACCAAAGAAUUUCAACACAACUGCUCUUAAGCUUAAAAUCUACUAUACACACAUCUUCGAUUUAAAAACUCAACAUUUAUCUAAGCAUCGACUAUCAGAGGAUUUCAAACGUGGAUUACAUUUACUUGCUCCUGAACUAAAUUAUGCCAUAAAUCUGUUACUAUACUUUCAAUCGUGCACAAACUUUUAUGUUUAGGAGAGCUACAGCUUAAAAGAGAAACAAAGCAAUUAAGAACAAAAUUAUAGAGUUGGAAAAGAUCAAACUAUAGAGCUGAAGCUUUAUUCAUCCAUUUAUGAGCAAAAGAUUAAACUCAAAUGUAAAGAAGAUAGUUACAACACAUACAACGUCACCAUAACUUUAUGCAAUUAAGAACUAAACUAUAGAGCUGGAAAAAUACCUAUUUUGCAAAAAUAGAAGAAAAAAAUAGCAGAGAAGGGAACCAACAAGCCAAACUCCAGCCAAAUGAAAUAGCAACAGCAGCACGACCAGCAACAAAAUCAACGCCAAAAGUGAACUCAGUUAAUCUAGAGAAUCAGCCAUGUGUUUUAGACUAAAAACAAACAACGGAAACCAAGACUCUUAAAGUUUUUCUUGCCUAAAACCUAUUGUAAGUGCUGGAAAACUUAGUAAAAUGCUCUCUGAUUCCCCCCCCUCCCCCCCGUUUGUGUGUAAAUAUGUUCAGCCUUUUUAUAAGAGAAGAGGCAAUGCAUUCAUGACUAAAAAUCUGUUCAUACAAUAUAUUUCUCACCAAAAAUUUGCUCUUACUAUUCAAAGGACAGACUUUUGGUUAAAAAAUCUACCUAAAGAUAAUCUCUUUACCAACUGUGAAUAGUAUUAGGAGCUGUAUACUCCCAACAACCUUUAAACGGUAAAAAGCAGCAAAACAAGUACCCCACUCUCAUGAUCAAACAUAUCUACUCUUCAACUUUUUAAUAAUCAAUACCAGACCUAGUUUGUAUCAAACCAAAACUAAAGCCAAGAAACUAUAAGCAAGACACAUGUUAACAGAGAAAACAACUUGGUGAAAAAGUUUGACUAUGUGAAUACGCCUUCCACAAGCAAAGGAGGAUGAACUACAUGUCCAACAUGUUUGAUCAGCUGGAAGAUGCCAAAGGAUGGGUAGAACUUUUUGAAAAACUGAAAACUAGGUAGAAAACAAACCUAAUUCGGCCACUAACAAAACUUACACUACUACAAUAACUACAAUAAAGUAGUAGGCAACAGAAAUCAGAAACCUAAGGAAAGGAUUAAGGUUCUAGUUAGAGUCCAAAAUCUUUGAAACUUCAGCUAAUUAGCACAACGAAUUAAACGUGAAAUAACAGAAACUGCAAUUGAAGCUAAAAUUUUCAAACUUGAAUCUACAACUAACUUCAAACACCAUUAGAAGAACUUAUGAGAUAGGAAUCCGAACAACAAAAUAAUUUGAGAUCAACGAGUGAUGACUAAUCAUUACUGCCUUUAAACUAACUAACGACUUACUAAAGAUAAAUAAAACACAUGAUCAAACAAAGAAGAAAAACCAAAAAUUUUAGACCUAAGCAAACUAUAAUGAAACAGAAAGUAAAAGAAAAAGAAAGGAGACACAAGGGAUUAGGGUGUACCAGAAAAUUGAGUGGUGCGGUAGUGGUGGUGAUUCGAGUAGUGGUGGGAUGCCAACUUGACAACAAUGUAAAGUUCGAGCGUGAUUUCCUAAUUGGUGAAUUGUGACUGUGAAUUUUAGUAUGCCAGAGGUCAUUCACGAUAUCAACAAUGAGAAACUUGUGCUUCAACUCACGAGAUAGGUCGAGGCAGAGGUGUUGUGGUAAUUUUAGGUGGGUCGUGGCAGUGGAGUAGUGGUCGCCAGAAUCCGGCCAGACUUCUGUCGGAGUUUUUGGGUGAAACCAACAUAGGAUGAUAGAUCAUGUGGAGCUCUACGUGCAUGUGUAAGUAUUUUAUAAAGGAGAGGCCGAAAACUCGACGAAUUUACAAAAUAAAUUGGACUAAGGUUUCAGAUUUUCGUUUAUUCAUGGAUUUUGGGAGGGAUUCAAGGGAUUUGGUUCGUGGAUUAACGAAGAUAAAGAGGAUAGGAAGAGAUUGGCAUUGGUUGGAGGGUGUUUGGAGCACCACUGGCGGUGACGCUCCACGGUGGCGGUAGAGGAGGGCAAUGACGGCUUGAGAAAAAAGAGGGGUCUCUAGGGUUUGGUUUCUUAGAGAACAGGCAAAAAACAGAUUUUAAAAGGAUUUUAUACCUCAAAGGGGAACAAAGGAGGGCCAUU
rnacentral:lncRNA from 1 species